AUUGAACACUGGCGGCAGGCCUAACACAUGCAAGUCGAACGAGCGGCGGACGGGUGAGUAAUGUAGGGGGAUCUGCCCGAUAGAGGGGGAUAACUGCUGUAAACGGUGGCUAAUACCGCAUACUGUCGGUUGAGCCCCUUUGGGAUUAGCUAGUAGGUGGGGUAAAGGCACACCAAGGCGACGAUGCAUAGCUGGUCUGAGAGGCUGAUCGGCCACACUGGGACUGAGACACGGCCCAGACUCCUACGGGAGGCAGCAGUGGGGAAUAUUGGACAAUGGGCGCAAGCCUGAUGCAGCCAUGCCGCGUGUAUGAAGAAGGCCUUAGGGUUGUAAAGUACUUUCAGCGGGGAGGCGUUACCCGCAGAAGAAGCACCGGCUAACUCCGUGCCAGCAGCCGCGGUAAUAC
rnacentral:rRNA from 1 species